rnacentral:rRNA from 1 species
CCUACGGGGGGCUGCAGUGAGGAAUAUUGGACAAUGGGCGCAAGCCUGAUCCAGCCAUGCCGCGUGCAGGAAGAAGCAUCUAUGGUGUGUAAACUGCUUUUGUACGGGAAGAAACACUCCUACGUGUAGGAGCUUGCCGGUACCGUAAGAAUCAGGAUCGGCUAACUCCGUGCCAGCAGCCGCGGUAAUACGGAGGAUCCAAGCGUUAUCCGGAAUCAUUGGGUUGUAGGGGUCCGUAGAAGGUUUAGGUGAAAGCCCAUCGCUCAACGAUGGAACGGCCAUUGAUACUGCUAGACUUGAAUUACUAGGAAGUAACUAGAAUAUGUAGUGUAGCGGUGAAAUGCUUAGAUAUUACAUGGAAUACCAAUUGCGAAGGCAGGUUACUACUAGUGGAUUGACGCUGAUGGACGAAAGCGUGGGGAGCGAACAGGAUUAGAUACCCCGGUAGUC